AUUUAUCUCUAACUUGGAACUGAGGUCCUCCUUCUUGGCUCCCUGUCAAUCACUGUUUUAAACUCUUUUAUGUCAAUUUAAAAAAACAGCCUUUUGGUUUUGAUCCCUAUUUCCAAUCUUAUACUGCACAGGUAUACUCAACUCUCUUGCCUCUGUAUCAAUGGGGCACUAAUGGACCCAUUUAUUAUCAAAAAAGGUUUAAAACAGGGGU